GGGCAUUUGGUCUAGUGGUAGGAAUCUCGCUUUGGGUGGGAGUGGUCCUGAGUUCAAUUCUUUGAAUGCCCC
rfam:Hordeum vulgare subsp. vulgare, WGS project CAJW01000000 data, contig: morex_contig_112363